rnacentral:rRNA from 1 species
GACGAACGCUGGCGGCGUGCUUAACACAUGCAAGUCGAACGGAAAGGCCCUGCGUUUGUGGGUUGCUCGAUUGGCGAACGGGUGAGUAACACGUGAGUAACCUGCCCUUGACUUUGGGAUAACUUCAGGAAACUGGGGCUCAUACCGGAUAGGAUCUCCUGCUGCAUGGGGGGGGUUGGAGAGUUUCGGCGGUUGGGGCUGGACUCGCGGCUUAUCAGCUUGUUGGUGGAGUAGUGGCUUACCAAGGGUUUGACGGGUAGCCGGCCUGAGAGGGUGACCGGCCACAUUGGGACUGAGAUACGGACCAGACUCCUACGGGAGGCAGCAGUGGGGAGCAUUGCACAAUGGGCGGAAGCCUGAUGCAGCAACGCCGCGUGCGUGAUGACGGGCUUCGGGUUGUAAACCGCUUUCGCCUGUGACGAAGCGGUAGUGACGGUAAUGGGUAAAGAAGCACCGGCUAACUACGUG